rnacentral:lncRNA from 1 species
GCGAAGCAGUAGGGACGGAUGAUUCUUCAACAUUAGGUCUUGGGUCCGGUAAUAUAUAAUUUCACUCUACCAAAGGCUACGGGAUAAUGGCGCCAAAGUUUUAGAGGCACGUACAUUCACUCCUCUCUUUCUUUCUUUUUUACUUUGUUUCUAACUACUGUAAGGCCAGGUGUGAGUUAAUUUCCACCCUUUUUCUUUUUGAGAAUAAGUUAAUUUCCACGGUUUUUUUUAGAGGCGUUAAUUUCCACAGUUAGGCAGACCCUAGAAUUUCUCGGCUCACUUGCGAAGGUUCAGCCUAGUUAGGAAGCCCAAAUCCUCCUUCUAGACUGCCACGUACCGGCCCACUGCCCCACCGCAUCAGUUCCCAGUACUCUUUCUAACCCAGACGGCGAGGCUGUACUCCAGUUUCUAACCUAGACUCCACUCCAGUUCCCCAGUCUCGUCCAAAUUGGGAAUCAAGUCUCGUCCAAUUCGGGAAGCCACAGUCUCCUCCUCGUCUUCUCCGAUGCAGCCCUGAUCUCGCCGCCGCCCGCACGCUUGCUCGCGGGCGCUCCCCUGGUAAGCCCCUUACUUGC